rnacentral:rRNA from 1 species
AGCGAACGCUGGCGGCAGGCCUAACACAUGCAAGUCGAACGCGUGUAGCAAUACACGAGUGGCAGACGGGUGAGUAACGCGUGGGAACGUGCCCUUCAGUUCGGAAUAACCCAGGGAAACUUGGGCUAAUACCGGAUACGCCCGAAAGGGGAAAGAUUGAUCGCUGAAGGAUCGGCCCGCGUCUGAUUAGCUAGUUGGUGAGGUAAUGGCUCACCAAGGCGACGAUCAGUAGCUGGUCUGAGAGGAUGAUCAGCCGCAUUGGGACUGAGACACGGCCCAAACUCCUACGGGAGGCAGCAGUGGGGAAUAUUGGACAAUGGGCGCAAGCCUGAUCCAGCCAUGCCGCGUGAGUGAUGACGGCCUUAGGGUUGUAAAGCUCUUUCGGCGGGGACGAUAAUGACGGUACCCGCAGAAGAAGCCCCGGCUAACUUCGUGCCAGCAGCCGCCGUAA